GCUGGGCGUGGUGGUGCACGCCUGUAGUCCCAGCUACUCGGAGGCUGAGGCAGGAGAAUCGCUUGAACCCGGGAGGUGGAGGUUGCAGUGAGCUGAGAUCAUGCCACUGCACUCCAGCCUGGGCCACAAGAGCGAAACUCUGUCUCAA
rnacentral:sRNA from 1 species